UACGAAGGGGGCUAGCGUUGCUCGGAUUUAUUGGGCGUAAAGAGCGCGUAGGCGGCUUCUUAAGUCGGUGGUGAAAUCUUGAAGCUCAACUCCAAAACUGCCAUCGAUACUGUAUAGCUCGAGUCCGGAAGAGGUGAGUGGAAUUCCUGGUGUAGCGGUGAAAUGCGCAGAUAUCAGGAAGAACACCCGUGGCUAAGGCGGCUCUCUAGUACGGUACUGACGCUGAGACGCGAAAGCGUGGGGAGCAAACAGGAUUAGAUACCCUGGUAGUCCACGCCGUAAACGAUGGAUGCUAGCCGUUGGCGAGGUUGAUCGUCUGUGUGGCAACUAACGCUUUAAGCAUCCCGCGCUGGGGAGAACGGUCGCAAGAUUAUAACUCACAGGAAUUGACGGGGGCCCGCACAAGCGGUGGAGACAUGUGGUUCAAUUCCAAGCACCGCGCAGAAGCUUACCAGUGCCUUGACAUCUGCGGUCGCGAUAGAGCAUAGACGCACUCCUUCAGUUCGGCUGGACCGGCGACAGGUGCAGCACGGCUGUCAUCAGCUCUCGUCAUGAGAUGGUGGGAUAAGUGCCGCAACGACCGCACCCCUCGCCCUUAGUCACCAUCAAAUACUGGGGCUCUCUAAGGGGACCCGCGGUGAUAACCCGGAGGAAGGGGGGGAAGACCUCAACUCCUCAUGCCCCAUACGCACGGGGCCACACACGUGCCACAAGGCCGGUGACAGAGGGACGCAAAGGGGAGGGCGAUCGCAUAUCUCAAAAACGCGUCUCAGUUGGGAUGGGGGUUGACAACUCGACUCCAGGAAGUGGGAAUCGUUGGUAAUCGCAGUUCACCACGCCGCGGUGAAUACGUUCCCGGGUCU
rnacentral:rRNA from 1 species